rnacentral:rRNA from 1 species
AACGUAGGUGGCAAGCGUUGUCCGGAUUUACUGGGUGUAAAGGGAGCGCAGGCGGAUUGUCAAGUCAAAUGUGAAAUGCAGGGGCUCAACCCCUGAACUGCGUUUGAUACUGAUGGUCUUGAGUGGAGUAGGGGCAGGCGGAAUUCCCGGUGUAGCGGUGGAAUGCGUAGAUAUCGGGAGGAAUACCGGUAGCGAAGGCGGCCUGCUGGGCUCUAACUGACGCUGAGGCUCGAAAGCGUGGGGAGCAAAC